rnacentral:rRNA from 1 species
UACGUAGGGUGCAAGCGUUAAUCGGAAUUACUGGGCGUAAAGGGUGUGUAGGCGGUUCUUUAAGUUUGGUGUGAAAUCUCCCGGCUUAACCGGGAGGGUGCGCCGAAUACUGAGGGACUAGAGUACGGGAGAGGAAAGUGGAAUUCCUGGUGUAGCGGUGAAAUGCGUAGAUAUCAGGAGGAACACCGGUGGUGUAGACGGCUUUCUGGACCGUAACUGACGCUGAAACACGAAAGCGUGGGUAGCAAACAGG